GUCUUGAUUGAAGUGGUCUAUUAAGAAAAUAAACUUUGGCCAGGGCAACCCCAGAACAGAGCUCCGCCCCUGCCUGCAGGGAGGAGGCUGGGAGGGAGCUGGGGUGGCCCUGAGAGGCUGCUUCCUGCCGCUAGGUCACCACACCACGGCUUCCUCUCUCCUCUCCUCACUAAAAACCCUUCAGAAUGAGCUCUUUGCCUUCUUAUCUGUGGCCCUCUCGGUUUACACUUGGGCUUUGCAUUUUUCAACUUACUCGACGCCUCUGGAAAACCGCCUCCCUGGGUACGGUGCUCUGCAGAAACCGCUCACUUGUUAUUAAAACUCGCCUUCUCCACCCACAGCUCAGAUGAGAGGGGAGAAACUCGCGGAGGAUCCUGGGGUCCUGGCCCCGCAGUCCGGAGCAGCCCCUGGCUGGCCCAGGUAAGCGUUGCGGAAGAGCUCUCAGCAAACGGCUCAGCGGUGUCCUCCCAUCCGAGCAGUGGGCCAGCCUCAAGCCACUCUGGAUGGCGCGCGGGAGGAUUAGGUAAAGCCCUGCAGGAGAGGACCGUUGUGCAGAUGUGCGGGGUCACUGGGUGCCAGCGGCGGGGGCGCUGGGCCUCUUCCGACCCUCGGCGCACAGAUGCGCUCUCUGCGGGCUCAGGGCUCCGCCGGCUCGUCUUUCACUCCGCAGACGCACUCAUGAAAAGACCUGUGUGUGAAGUCACCCUCAAAAAAGAGCUCCCUGUGCCAACGCCUCUUCCCCCUCAGAGGAAGCACCUGCUUCUUGCAGAAAUGGCCGGGCUCAGAUCCACUGAGGAAACGCACCAGAUAACCCGGAGACCAGCGCAAAGUGAACGCUCCUGGGGCAGCAUCAGAGGACUCAGCAGCCCUCCUGCACGGACUCCCACCACCCAAAGACAAGGCCGUCCAACUCUGUCCCUGGGGGAAACACAGCAAUCCCCUAAAGCCCAUGGCUUUAAACUGUUAUUUUUAAAAUAUUGCUAACAUCUGCAGGGUGCAAUGAAACUAACUCAUUUCAAAAACUAAUUUUAAAAACCAGAAAAUACACGGGGAAAAAAUCCCAAGUCACUAACGAAUUCUAUCUCAAAGCAAAGGAAUGGAAGCAGGGAAGGAAGGAAGGAAGAGGGAGGGAAGGAGACAAGACAUUGUUAUAGAAAAGUUAUUAAGGAGGGAAGCUAUUAAAAU
rnacentral:lncRNA from 1 species